rnacentral:rRNA from 1 species
GACGAACGCUGGCGGCGUGCUUAGCACAUGCAAGUCGAACGGUGAAGCGCUUGCCUUUUUGGUGGGUGUGGAUGAGUGGCGAACGGGUGAGUAACACGUGAGUAACCUGCCCUCUUCUUCUGGAUAACCUCAUGAAAGUGGGGCUAAUACGGGGUAUUCCGGGUCUGUCGCAUGGCGGGUUUGGGAAAGAUUGCGCCUUUGGGUGUUUUCGGUGGGGGAUGGGCUCGCGGCCUAUCAGCUUGUUGGUGGGGUGAUGGCCUACCAAGGCGGUGACGGGUAGCCGGCCUGAGAGGGUGGACGGCCACACUGGGACUGAGACACGGCCCAGACUCCUGCGGGAGGCAGCAGUGGGGAAUAUUGCACAAUGGGCGCAAGCCUGAUGCAGCGACGCCGCGUGAGGGAUGGAGGCCUUCGGGUUGUGAACCUCUUUCGCCAGUGAAGCAGGCCUGCUCCUGUGUGGGUGGGUUGACGGUAGCUGGAUAAGAAGCGCCGGCUAACUACGUG